rnacentral:other from 1 species
UUUCCCCUGCUUGGUUCGUGACGCGUUCUUUUAAACCCACAUCAUACCUUAGGGAUGCGAAAGCUUCUCUACUGGAUUGCAGGCCUCCCGCUAACGCUCUGACGAUUAGUGGAAGUUGGAAGCAGCGAAAGUAAAGAGCAGCAACCCACCUGCCAUUUCGUGCAGGUUAUAAACGGGCGCGCACGGCUAAAGUGGGGUUCCA